rnacentral:rRNA from 1 species
AUGAACGCUGGCGGCGUGCCUAAUACAUGCAAGUCGAGCGAACAGACGAGGAGCUUGCUCCUCUGACGUUAGCGGCGGACGGGUGAGUAACACGUGGAUAACCUACCUAUAAGACUGGGAUAACUUCGGGAAACCGGAGCUAAUACCGGAUAAUAUAUUGAACCGCAUGGUUCAAUAGUGAAAGACGGUUUUGCUGUCACUUAUAGAUGGAUCCGCGCCGCAUUAGCUAGUUGGUAAGGUAACGGCUUACCAAGGCAACGAUGCGUAGCCGACCUGAGAGGGUGGAUCGGCACCCUGGGACCUAGGCCCGGGCCCAACUCCUUAGGGGAGCAACAGUUAGGGAUCCUCCGGAAUUGGCCGAAGGCCGACGGGGCAAAGGCGGGUUGGGUGAUGAAGUCCUCCGAUUGUUAAACCCUUUUAUUUGGGGAGGACAAAAUUUGUAAGUAACUAGGCCCGCUUGACGGUUCCUAAUCAGAAAGCCACGGCUAACUACGUG